UACAGAGGUCCCAAGCGUUGUUCGGAUUUACUGGGCGUAAAGGGUGCGUAGGCGGUAAGGAAAGUUCGGGGUGAAAUCUCCAGGCUCAACUUGGAAACUGCCCUGAAUACUUCCUUGCUAGAGGGUCGCAGAGGAGAUUGGAAUUCUCGGUGUAGCAGUGAAAUGCGUAGAUAUCGAGAGGAACAUCAGUGGCGAAAGCGAAUCUCUGGGCGACAUCUGACGCUGAGGCACGAAAGCCAGGGGAGCAAACGGG
rnacentral:rRNA from 1 species